GGGGCCAGCCCCACGCUCCCUCCACACCCGACUGCUUUCUGUUUUCUGUUUCUCAUGGGAGUGGAAACAUGGGGGGUGAGCCCCAGAGAUCUAGGAACGCAGGGACUUGGCUGGUCCAGGUGUAGGGUCCCUGGGGUAACCGUCUUCUGAGCCGGUUUGUAUGGCAGAGAUGGGGACGUCAGGACCUCUGACCCAGGAACCCACCAGCUCACCAGAUUUCUGGGGAAAGAACAUCCUCGACUCCUUUCCUAGGAGGGGUUUGGUGGCCAUCUGGCUGGGCCUGUGGCGUGGGUACCUGGUUUACAUGGAUUGCCCGGAAAGCCUGUGGGGCCUCUGCGUCCUGGGCCCCUUCUGCCUGACCCCCCAGGGGGUCCGUGGGACAGACAGCAGAGUUGUCUGUCAGCUUGCCCGGCCCCCUCCUCUGGUUUUGUCUCAGGGUUGGGUCUCGCUGGUAAAUAUGAAAUUAGGAGGCUUAAGGAAGGGACCACCACAGUGAGCCACGGUGACCUGCAAACUGUCUUGGAGCUGACUUGGAGAAAAAAGAAGUACGGGACGACAACGUUCCAAUGAAAACGGGCAAUUUUCGUACGUUUCCUGAAUCCUGUACAAGCCAGUGGUUGAAAGAAUUAAACGGGUGAUUAAAAACACGCUUUGAGGGACGCCUGGGUGGCUCAGUUGGUUAAGCAACCGACUUCGGCUCAGGUCAUGAUCUCACAGUUUGUGAGUCUGAGCCCCGCGUCGGGCUCUGGGCUGACAGCUCGGAGCCUGGAGCCUGCUUCGGAUUCUGUGUCUCCCCCACUCUCUACCUCUCCCCUGCUCACGCUCUGUGUCUCUCUGUCCCUCGAUAAUAAAUAAAUGUUAAAGAAAAAAAAAUUUAAAAAAAACACGCUUUGAGCAUUUUGUUGCAGCAUAAAGGCCUGCUGUAUUAGAUGUUUCUCUUCUUUCUGAAUACCUCUAGGAAUAUUCUAGUAGCUGUUGUGCCGGCCUCCCUUUGCUCUGGAAUUGUGUUUCUUGAGCGUGGGGUCAGAGGGUGCUUACACCCCCUCCCCCAUUAUAGAAUGGCCACACGUUAAUGAUAAAACUCCAGAAGACCAUGGGAAGCGGAAAGGAGUAAUACAUCAUCCAUAGGUAUAAGCACCAUGGCCAUGAUUCCCUCUAAGCUUGAUUUUCUUUUUUCUUAAUAUACUAGAGGUAAUAAUAACCUAUUCCCUUUUUUUUCUCCCCCUCGCUUGAAAAUUUUAACCCUACCUCGUAAGUGUUUUUACAUGAUCUGACAAGUUUUUUUUUUUUUUAUUAAGAUUGCAUGGAUAUGUCUACCUGGCUCGUUCCCUGCUGGUCAUUUAACUUAACAACGAACACAUUUUUACACAAACCUUGGCUGCAUUUUUCACCGUUUCCUUCAAAUAAAUUCCUGGGAGUGGAAUUAUGGGGUCAGAGACUUUCGAACCUUUCUAAGGCUUUUGAUAGGUGUUGUCCGCUCCUUUCCAGAAAGGUCGAACCAGUCUAUACUUGGACCAGAAGCCUCUUUUAUACCUUUGCCAAUGGAAAUGUUAACGUUUGCAAAUAGAGUCUUUGUUUGUAGCCUAGGGGAGACAGACAUUGCCAUUUUCAAUACUUGAAUUCUAUUGAAUUGAACAGCUUCCCGCGUGUAUUAACUGAUUCUGUAGCCCGUUUUUUUCCCAUCGCUUUGUAUGCGCCUUGUAAUAGAGGUUACAGAUUACAUCCCUUUGUCUCUUUCUAGGGGUAGUAUUUUCCCCUUUUUUCUUUUCUUUUUUAAACAGGGAGACAUUGCUAUAUGCAGAUUCCCAGUCUUUUCCUCCAUGGUUUCUUCCAUUGAUUUUAACCUCAGAAAUGCUCUUCUCAUCUAGAACUCAGAUAAAUAUUUACUUACAUAUUACUCUGGUGUUUGGCGUGUUGGCUUGAUUUCUGUGUUUAACUCUUUAUCUGAAUUUAUUUGGUAUUUAAAUUUUUUUUAUUUUUUAAAUUUAUAUAUUUAUUUUUGAGAGAAUGAGAGCAUGGGCAGGGGAGGGGCAAAGAGAGAGGGGGACAGAGGAUCUGAUGUGGCCUCUGCACUGACAGCAGAGAGCCCGAUGUGGGGUUCGAACUCAGGAACCAUGAGCUCAUGACCCGAGCCGAAGUCAGAUGCUCGACCACCUGAGCCACCCACGUGCCCCAAGUAUGUACGUAUGCAUUUAUUUAUUUAUUUUUACAUGUUUGUUUAUUUUCGAGAGAGAGAGAAUGUGCGUGAGCAGGGGAGGGGCAGAGAAAGAAUCUCAAGCAGGCUUUGCACUGUCAGCACAGAGCCCGAUGCGGGGCUCAAACUCAUGAACCGUGAGAUCACGACUUGAGCUGAAAUCAAGUUGAAGGCUUAACCAGCUGAGCCACCCAGGUGCCCCUAUACUUAUUAUUUUUUCUAAGUAGGCUUCGUGCCCAGCACGGAGCCCAAUGAGGGGCUUGAACUCACAACCCUGAGAUCAAGACUUGAGCCGAGAUCAAGAGUCAGAUGCUUAACCCUCUGAGCCACCUCAGUGCCCCUUUUUUUGAGUAUUUUUGAGAAGUGAAAGUGAGUUGAUUUCCCCCUCCCCUGCAGGAAGCUAACCAGUGAUCCAGGCUCCACAGCCAGUCACUAUUUCUUCGUUUCCAGGGGAGCAGCUUCUAAGUGUCCCUCUUUUGUCCUGCCCUCCUUCUGGGUUGGGGCCAGGUGGAAGGAGUCCCAGGAUGGGUGGGGAGGACUAGCUGCCUUGGCUCAGCCUCUUUUGACGCCAGUGAUGAUCUGUAUUGAUAAAGCUCUUCCCCCGCACAUCCGCUCAAGGGACCUCUCUUGGUUGGAACCUUCACCCUUCUCGCUACCGGAGGGAGAGGUAUGGCGGGGCUGGGGAAGAACACAGUGAGUUCCCAGGGCGUCAGGGCAUCCUGACCUUUGUCCUCUGCACUUGACUUCCAGGCUCCUCCCCUCGGGCCCAGCUUGAGGAAGAUUCAAGCCCAGGCUUGGUAUUGCCGCUUGCUUGAGCAAAUCACCGAGCGGUCUGCCUCGGUUUCUCCAUUUUUAUUUAAGUAAAGAAGAAUGGGAAUUAAAAAAAAACCUAUCUGGCUUACUACCUCUUGCGAAGCUCCAACGAGACACUUUAGAGUGUUUUGAAUCAUCUAAAUGUUAAACGAUGAAAUGUUACAGAACUUCAAAGCGUUCUAACGUUAAACUCAAUCUUAGAAAAACGAAACAAAACAAAACAAAAAUUCACCCUUAGGCGCUAUGGAUUGUAAGAGGCGCCAUCAUUUAUUUCGUUACCCCUAAGAGAAAAGAAAGCUGUGACCAGCGUGUUCCGCCAUCGGUUUUAGGGCGCCUCUCCAUUUCAGAGACGUCGCGAUGGGAAAGACCAUGCAUCUUUGAGCAGGUGACAUUCGAUGUGUGGGCCUGACUCUGCUGAGGGGGGAGAGUUGGAAAUGCAAGCCUGAGGUGCCAGCGUGGAUUUUGGGUGCACCUGUAAGGGCCACAGAGGAAGGCAGUCACUGAGACACCUACAGUUUUUCCUCCAAUACGGAAUUUUCCUCUCGCGCCGAUUCCUGAGGCUUGUGUUUCGUCUCUGUAACUUCACGUUGUGAUGCUUUUCUCGGAGAAGACGCUAGUCUCCGAAUUCCGAACUCUGAGUUCGGCCCGGGUGUCUUCCUCCGGUCUUUCUUUGAAUUGUCCGGUGUAAGCCACAGAAGUCGUCAGCCUCUGCCUUGUAGGGGGAAGUCGGCCCUUCAUCCUGUCCCCUUGCAGAGAUUGGGGGGCGGGGGGCGGGGAGGACCCUCCACGGUCUGGCUUUGAAUUUGAAUUCUGUGUCUGCCGUUUAUCGUCUGAGGGGUCUGAGACCCGUGCCAUCUUUGCAGUCCUCGGUUUUUUUCUUCUAACAAAUAAGGGUGAAAAGGAUGUUUCCUGGAGCCUUGUCAAGAGAGUGAAAUGAGCUGAUGUGUGUAAAACCCUGGCAGCGUUUCUUGGGCGCAUCGUAGACACUCCAUCGAUACCAUGUUCCUUCUCGUCUCUCUGUCCAGCGUCCCCUCGAGCCGCUGGGUCUGGCUGCCAGCUGUCUACAGAUGACCCCGGCACAGAGCUCCCGAGAGAGAGUUAAGGUCCCUACCCUGUGGCCCGAGUCGGUGAACCGUACUUUUGACAUUUAGCCUCGCAUUUCCAAAUACAGUGAAGUCCGUAAGGCCUGUCUCGUGUUCUCUUCCGGCUGUGAUUUCUAGCACAGAGCGGCCUCCUGACCUCCUGCUGACCCAGACCCACAACCUUCCCUGUCACAGUACAUUCAGCCCUAAAGAGGAAGGUGUUUUCUUCAGAUCGCCAAUGUCUAGGGCUUUGCUUCUGGAGCACCAGGCGUGACAGGGUAACUUGAGAAAUCCUGGAGGCAGUGUUCUGCUUUGAUGCUAUUAUUAGACGCUUCCAACCACUGCUUGUCUGUAGCCUUACAGGACUUGGAGAGGGGCAAGAGGGAGGAGAUUCUGGUAAUGCCAUUUUCCAGGAAAGUAAAAUGUCAUUUAUCUAGUCCACGGUCAUUCAGCAAGAACAUCCUCGACCUGAGAGCUGAGAUCGGCUUGCUUUUCCCACAGCCUAGCCCAGCUCUUGACCUGGCUUCCUUCAUCAUCAGGCUUCGUGCACGGGGAAGUGAGUCAGAUAGACGGGGGCCUGGGCAUGACAGCAGCUUCCAGUGGUCGGUGGGUUGUCCCUACAUUAAGAGACCCUUUUUUUUUUUUUAAACCACCAUAUUGAUUUAUUUUUUAAGCUUCUUGAUUUAUUUUGAGAGAGCACAAGUAGGGGAGGAGCAGAGAGAGAGGGCAAGAGAGAGAAUCCCAAGCAAGCUCUGCACUGUCAGUGCAGAGCCCGACGUGGGGCUCGAACUCACAGACCGUGGGAUCGUGACCUGAGCCUGAAUCAAGAGUCGGACGCUUACCUGACUGAGCCUCCAGGGCGCCCCCACGGAGAGACCAUUUUGUUGAGACAAAGGCGGAUCCUUCCCCACCAGGAGCUUCUGUUUAAUACCCGUUUCCUGAGGGGAGCAAGGGGGCUUCUCCAGGGUUGACUGGGUGGAGCCAGAUGGUAUCCCUAACUCCAGCAUGAAUGGGUGCCAGAAGGCACAGGUGCUUUGUGGAGAGGAGUCACGUGGGCCCCAUCGUGGAACGGAGUGUAGGCUGGGCCUGUGCUGCAUGGCAGACGCAGCAGGAGGAUGUCGCCGGGAGCCAAGUCCAUUUCUGACUCAUACUGUGCUCAGCGCUGUCUCCCAGCAGUGCGCGUGAUCAGGCGCGGAGGCUGGGCCUUGCGCCUCCUCACCUGCCGCCACCCGAAAGGCCGCUUGCUGGUGACCUUCAGCUGGGCCGCCGGCCCGAGGCUGUUCUAGCCGCGAGGGGAGCAUCUCUUUCUUUCUCUUCCAAGGCUGAGGAGUGGACGUGAAUCACUGGCUUCUUUGCGGAAGGGUCUUGCCGUCAUUUGAAUUCUCCUGGCUCCGGGGUGGGGGCCCGCUGCUACACACUCCCUCACCUGCCACCCCCAUGGGGUCUGCUGGGCUCUCUGGAUGUGCCCAGCUCGAGUUAACUGGACACACUGAAAAGAAGGGAGAAUAGAGAUAAAGUAGGAUGUGGCACAGGAUUGCCAUUGUAUGUGGCGUCGCUUUUAUUUUGCUUCGUUACCGAACGUUGGAACGCACCCUUCUUGGAUUUCCAUUGACUUGGAGAAAAAGGUUUCCUUCCAAGUCUUUCGAUGUUGUGGUUAUUCCCUAGCUUUUAAGUUGUGAUUUCUUUUACAGGGAGCUGUGCCUCAUCCUGAUCUCUCUCACCCAUCCCUUUUACCUUUUUCUCCUUGGGUUUUGUCCCAGCACAGCUUGAUAGAAAAAAAGUGACCUCGCGGGUCAUUGUCUGCAGCUCCCCGCCCUCCUGCUUCACCCGUUGAUGCCCAAGCACCUGCUGGGGACCGAGGCGGAGAGCGCCUUCAGGGAGUUACAGUCUUCUGAGACCAGUAGAAGCUUCUGGCUUUUUCUAGCCACUCUUGACCAUCGACCGCUGGCAGUUACCACAUCUCUAAGCUUCCCUUUCCUUGCUUUCUAAAACAGACUCCCUUUCUCUGAGUUUAUAUGUUUAAAUGAGGACAUUUCGGAAAUUGAGAGGAGAACUUAGGAAAUUUUAUAUUUGCAGGAGGAAAUUAGGUGAAAUUUAAGCGUGGACAUAUUUUAUAUUUAGAAAGUUUCGACACACCAAGGUCUGACUGGUAGAUCGGAAGAGUCAUGGUUUCAGUGUGGAAGCCCGAGUGCUUUUUCUUCUCCCUGUGCGU